rnacentral:ncRNA from 1 species
AAAUUUUCUAGGCAAACUUAUCGAAAGAUGAGGACGCAAAGCUAUGGGUCUAAGGACAGAUUGGUCUACGACUGCCAGGUUGCCGAU